AAUACAUAGCAUAUCAGAAGGCACACCCGGAGAACUGAAACAUCUUAGUACCCGGAGGAAGAGAAAGAAAAUUCGAUUCCCUUAGUAGCGGCGAGCGAAACGGGAAGAGCCCAAACCAACAAGCUUGCUUGUUGGGGUUGUAGGACACUCUAUACGGAGUUACAAAGGACGACAUUAGACGAAUCAUCUGGAAAGAUGAAUCAAAGAAGGUAAUAAUCCUGUAGUCGAAAAUGUUGUCUCUCUUGAGUGGAUCCUGAGUACGACGGAGCACGUGAAAUUCCGUCGGAAUCUGGGAGGACCAUCUCCUAAGGCUAAAUACUCUCUAGUGACCGAUAGUGAACCAGUACCGUGAGGGAAAGGUGAAAAGCACCCCGGAAGGGGAGUGAAAUAGAACCUGAAACCGUGUGCUUACAAGUAGUCAGAGCCCGUUAAUGGGUGAUGGCGUGCCUUUUGUAGAAUGAACCGGCGAGUUACGAUUUGAUGCAAGGUUAAGCAGUAAAUGUGGAGCCGUAGCGAAAGCGAGUCUGAAUAGGGCGUUUAGUAUUUGGUCGUAGACCCGAAACCAGGUGAUCUACCCUUGGUCAGGUUGAAGUUCAGGUAACACUGAAUGGAGGACCGAACCGACUUACGUUGAAAAGUGAGCGGAUGAACUGAGGGUAGCGGAGAAAUUCCAAUCGAACCUGGAGAUAGCUGGUUCUCUCCGAAAUAGCUUUAGGGCUAGCCUCAAGUGAUGAUUAUUGGAGGUAGAGCACUGUUUGGACGAGGGGCCCCUCUCGGGUUACCGAAUUCAGACAAACUCCGAAUGCCAAUUAAUUUAACUUGGGAGUCAGAACAUGGGUGAUAAGGUCCGUGUUCGAAAGGGAAACAGCCCAGACCACCAGCUAAGGUCCCAAAAUAUAUGUUAAGUGGAAAAGGAUGUGGCGUUGCCCAGACAACUAGGAUGUUGGCUUAGAAGCAGCCAUCAUUUAAAGAGUGCGUAAUAGCUCACUAGUCGAGUGACACUGCGCCGAAAAUGUACCGGGGCUAAACAUAUUACCGAAGCUGUGGAUUGUCCUUUGGACAAUGGUAGGAGAGCGUUCUAAGGGCGUUGAAGCAUGAUCGUAAGGACAUGUGGAGCGCUUAGAAGUGAGAAUGCCGGUGUGAGUAGCGAAAGACGGGUGAGAAUCCCGUCCACCGAUUGACUAAGGUUUCCAGAGGAAGGCUCGUCCGCUCUGGGUUAGUCGGGUCCUAAGCUGAGGCCGACAGGCGUAGGCGAUGGAUAACAGGUUGAUAUUCCUGUACCACCUAUAAUCGUUUUAAUCGAUGGGGGGACGCAGUAGGAUAGGCGAAGCGUGCGAUUGGAUUGCACGUCUAAGCAGUAAGGCUGAGUAUUAGGCAAAUCCGGUACUCGUUAAGGCUGAGC
rnacentral:rRNA from 1 species